rnacentral:rRNA from 1 species
GAUGAACGCUGGCGGCGUGCUUAACACAUGCAAGUCGAACGGUGAAGGCGGAGCUUGCUCUGCUGGAUCAGUGGCGAACGGGUGAGUAACACGUGAGCAAUCUGCCCCUGACUCUGGGAUAAGCGCUGGAAACGGCGUCUAAUACUGGAUACGAGCUGCGAAGGCAUCUUCAGCAGCUGGAAAGAACUUCGGUCAGGGAUGAGCUCGCGGCCUAUCAGCUUGUUGGUGAGGUAACGGCUCACCAAGGCGUCGACGGGUAGCCGGCCUGAGAGGGUGACCGGCCAAAGGGGGAGGGAGACAGGGCCGAGUCCCCUGGGGGGGGGAGGAGGGGGAAAUAGUGCAAAGGGGGGAAAAGCGUGAGGGAAACACCCCGGGGGGGGGACGAGGCCCUUGGGUGUGAAAACCUUUUUUAGGGGGGAAAAAGGGAAAGGGAUGGUACCGGAAAAAAAGGCGCGGGCAAACGACG